AACGAACGCUGGCGGCAUGCCUAACACAUGCAAGUCGAACGAAACCUUCGGGUCUAGUGGCGCACGUGUGCGUAACGCGUGGGAACCUGCCCUUAGGUUCGGAAUAACUCCCCGAAAGGGGUGCUAAUACCGGAUAAUGUCUUCGGACCAAAGAUUUAUCGCCUUUGGAUGGGCCCGCGUUGGAUUAGCUAGUUGGUAGGGUAAAAGCCUACCAAGGCGACGGUCCAUAGCUGGGCUGAGAGGAUGAUCAGCCACGCUGGGACUGAGACACGGCCCAGACUCCUACGGGAGGCAGCAGUGGGGAAUAUUGGACAAUGGGCGAAAGCCUGAUCCAGCAAUGCCGCGUGAGUGAUGAAGGCCUUAGGGUUGUAAAGCUCUUUUACCCGGGAUGAUAAUGACAGUACCGGGAGAAUAAGCGCCGGCUAACUCCGUG
rnacentral:rRNA from 1 species